AUACGGAGGGUGCGAGCGUUGUUCGGAAUUAUUGGGCGUAAAGCGCGUGUAGGCGGUCUUUUAAGUCUGAUGUGAAAGCCCUGGGCUCAACCCAGGAAGUGCAUUGGAUACUGGGAGACUUGAAUACGGGAGAGGGUAGUGGAAUUCCUAGUGUAGGAGUGAAAUCCGUAGAUAUUAGGAGGAACACCAGUGGCGAAGGCGUCUUUCUGGUCUGCAUCUGACACUGAGGAGCGAAAGCCAGGGGAGC
rnacentral:rRNA from 1 species